UGUGUGUGUGUGUGUGUGUGUACCAUUCAUGGACAAAGGGUUGAAAGACAGAUGCAGAAAUGAAUUUGUUUUUGCUAUCCAGAACUCUGUUCAGUGUGAAUUUUGAUACACACAAGAAGGAAUCUA